CAUGGGGUUUGCUAGGCUCCAGGUAGAGAAGCCGUUGUGUGCAUGGACAUCGUAGUGGAGGCAGGUGGGACAAAUCUGUCACAGUACCUGUGGUGUUUCUCAAGCCGUCAGUGAGGUCUGUGGAUGGAGAACACUGGCCCCCUCUGAGACAGGCAGAGCAAAGGAGCCCAAAGACAACCCGCCAGAGGAGGAGAACCAGGAGACAGGAGUGUCACACAAGCAAAAGGAGUAACAGGACUCUAAAAGGACGGAUGCCAGUGAUGUUAAAUCCGCUGACAAACGGGCACUCAGUAGGUGCCAAGGCUCUGUCACUUUUGAAUUGGGAAAGAAUCUUCAAGAGUCCACAGUCAAGUUGGAGGACAGAUGUGUAAUUAACAAGAGGCCAUACUGCAGUGGUUAAUAAUGAAAGUAUGCAACACUGUA